rnacentral:lncRNA from 1 species
CUCUCUGUCAGGGGCGGUUUCACCGCCUGAGUUUGGCUCGGAGACUGAGCCCCAAGCGGUGCCACCUCCUGACUGAGGCGGUUGCACCUCUCUGCCAGAGCUCGAAGACCGAGCUCAGGCGGUGCUACCUCUCUGUCAGGGGAGGUUGCACCGCCCAGUCUUGCUCGAAGACUGAGCUCAGGCGGUGCCACCUCCUGGCUGG